CAUGAUUAGUCUAUCUAGGAUUGUUUAGAGGGUAGUUGCAGUCGCCCCAACUCCAACUUAUAAAGCAAUUUUUGUUUUGUAAGUAGGGUGAGAAACAACAUUUUGUUGGAAACUCUAUUUUUAAGAAAUUAGAGAACUGU
rnacentral:ncRNA from 1 species